CCAGGCUCCACAGUGAGCCCGUCCCAGACUCCCACUCCCCCAGAGCCACAGUGAUCAAAGGAAGGGAGGAAAACACGCUGGAACCCCUUGGACCUGCUGCUGAAUGGGGAUUUUGGUCGGAUGUUGAGUUUACCUGGAAUGCCCCGGUGCUAUUUUGGGAAGACAGACAUCCUAUGGAAACAAUGAAGUGGAAAAGAAAACAACUAAAGCAAAAUCCAGAGCCCAGUUUCUGCUAACCCAGCUCCACACAGCCUGGGCAGACCGUGGAAGCCCGUCAGGCGUGCAAAGGGCUGAGACUGAGUGUGUCCGGUUUACCAGCAGAGAAUGCGAGAUGUAGAAAAAGGGUCCCUUUGACAUUUCCAACAAGUCAGUGACGAAAUGGAAAGAUCCUGGGAACAGUCUGCAGAGCAGUUCUGACUGUGGCCAGCUGGCACAAGCACCAAUUUCCAGCCACUAACCACAGUACCCGUUCUCAAAGGUGCAGGAGCCAGACAAGUAAAUACACCCAGGCUGCUGACUGCGGGCAAAGCUUGGCACCUAGGCCAGCCUCAAAUUCCCAGCUGGCUCCUUUGUGUCAUGGGAGCAUCCCAGACUCCUCUCCUCCAGAUGAAAAAAAAUGAGCCAUCUUCCUAAAACAGCCUGCGGAGCUAGCUAGAGAACAUGCAGAACCUGUAAGCCCAGGAGCUCAGCUGUCCCAUCCUGGAAACAGACAUCUGUCUGCGCCUUCGUCUACAGAGCCCUGGCCCUCGCCUCUCGCUGUGAGCACCGCUCUCUCGUCUGCGUUCCAGUCGAGAGAUAAACAGAAUGGACUCGGAGGUGGACAUUGUUCUCCAACAGGCCUGACUGCAGCCCAGCUGGGCUAUGAGGAAGGAACUGUGCUCUGUGAUCAUGCCGGACAGAAGGAGAACAGAGUCAAAUGGGCUAACAUGUGUCUGUGCUCCUCUUGAGAGGCAAACCACAGGCCCAAAUCACAGCACUAACAAGUGGCAAAGCAAAGGAAGGAAUGCAGGUGCAGCUGGUUCCAGCGCUCAGGGCUCCUUCCUUCCCUGGAUGCGGAGAAUAUUCUAGCCUUCCUCGCCAAAACAGGCAGAGCAGAGCCAAGAGAUUUUGCAAAGACUGAAUCAUGAAGAAGGAACCAGGCCUCCCCUGGAUGAGCCUUGGAAAGCCCAACCACAGGGUCACAAAAAACAGUGAGGAAACAGAGGCACAGAGAGGUUAAGCAGUCUGCCUGAGGUCACCAAGUGAGAGAACUGAGAACUGUGAACCCACAGCUUUUGGAGUCUUAUACCUCUAGGUGGGAGAAUUUUCAGUCUGGGACAUGACUGAGGGAGUGGAAAUAAAGCGGAGGUUAGCAGUGUCCUUACUCCCACGAGGACAGGCCAGGAGCUCUGGCCCUGCCACAUUCAGGCCCCUGGGACCCACAGCACUGCAGCAGAACCAGAGAAGGUGAGACACUCUGACCACAUCCCACAAGGAUUAAAUCUGAAUCUCCAGGUGCAGCCCAGGAAUCAGCUUGUUAGAGCCUCUCUGGUGAUUCCAAUGCACAGUCAAGGUUGAGAAGCAACCUCCCCGCUGUAUAGAUGGGGACACUGAGCCCAGGGAGGGGAAUUAGAUUUCCCCAGGCUGUGCAACCCAUACCACCACUAAGGACUCCAUCCAGGGUCUUCUAAUUCUCCAUCAGCCAGGACUUGCUUGCAGGACCACCUCUCCCACUGACUAGCUGUGUAGCCUUGAGUGGGUCAUUUAACUUCACGAUGAAAGACUUUACUUAAACUCUUAAGAUGGCACAAGUGCUCAAGAAACACCAGUGUUCUCCCUGCCCAGCCCCCACCUCAAAUUCAGCCCACUAUCUACUAUAUAACAAUGGACAGAGAAAAUUGUGAGCAAGGAUGGAAUUGAGAAUCUGACUGUUCUUGAGCCUUAAGGACAGGACUUGGAGUACCCCAGAAGUGUUGCCUGCCCAGAGGAGUCCUGGGGAAGGACCCAGAUGCCAAACCAAUGACCUGUGAGAGGUGACUGGGGGAGGGGGUGAGAAGGAGCGCACAGGGAUGAGAUUGCUGCUGCGGAGCUGGAAAGGCAGCCCAGAGUGGGUCAAUCCCGUCCUACCAGGAAAUGCAGGUAGUGCCACCAGGUGGAGAGUGAUGCUUUGUCUUAAGAGCCCUGGCAAGGCACUCUUAAGAUAGCGACAGCUGAAAGGCAAGUGAGGGCAUGUGCUCCCCCACCCGCACACGCCUGUGCUGUAUAAAUAAACGAUUGAUUACAACUCUAAUAUAAAUAUCCCACACUGUUAACAGUGUUUAUUUCCAGCACAGUGGAAUGAUGGUGAACUUUCACUUUCCUGGUCGUCUGUUUCUUUGAUAUUUAGCUUUUUCAUAACAACCAUUGCACUACUUUUGUCAUAAAAAAUAACGAAUUUUUAAAUGCUGAUAUAAAUAUUUGCAGAACACCAGGUACCUAUGCUUUCAAAUGGCCUUUCAGAGAAAGUCAGUCAUUUGGAGAAAGAUUUUCAAAGUAUUGCGACACAGGUGCAAUUUGGUGCCCUCUCCCUUGUCUUAGCUGUUUUAAAUGACAGCUUCCUCAGUCCUGGGGCUGCCCUUCACACUCCCAAUGGAAGCAUUUUAGGCCUACUCAGCUCUUCUGUCCUUACUAUUACUCUGCCAUCAAAAAGAAAAAGAAAAAGAAAAAACCCUGCCUUUCUCCCCCGCCAUGGCCAGGUGCUCUGUCUCUACAGUCACAUCGGAGACACACAUCUUUCAUGCCUCGUU
ensembl:lncRNA